GAUGAACGCUAGCUACAGGCUUAACACAUGCAAGUCGAGGGGUAACGAGAGGAAAGCUUGCUUUCCUUGUCGGCGACCGGCGCACGGGUGAGUAACGCGUAUCCAACCUGCCCCCAACUAGGGAAUAACCUUGCGAAAGUAAGACUAAUACCCUAUAAUUUCCUCAGAUGUCAUCUGACGAGGAAUAAAGAUCAACCGGUUGUGGAUGGGGAUGCGUCGGAUUAGCGUGUUGGCGGGGUAACGGCCCACCAAGGCAACGAUCAGUAGGGGUUCUGAGAGGAAGGUCCCCCACAUUGGAACUGAGACACGGUCCAAACUCCUACGGGAGGCAGCAGUGAGGAAUAUUGGUCAAUGGGCGGAAGCCUGAACCAGCCAAGUAGCGUGCAGGAUGACGGCCCUAUGGGUUGUAAACCGCUUUUAUACAGGAAUAAAGUUAGCCACGUGUGGUUAUUUGUAGGUACUGUAUGAAUAAGGACCGGCUAAUUCCGUGCCAGCCGCCGCAGUAA
rnacentral:rRNA from 1 species